rnacentral:tRNA from 1 species
GGCUCCAUAGCAUAGUGGUUAGCACAUCUGCUUUCCAUGCAGAACGCCCUGGGUUCGCGCCCCAAGUAGAGCCG